CUGAUGUAACAGCCUUGGGAAAGAGGUUGCAGUGAAAAGCUGGUCCUGCUGUGGUGGAGAGAAUGGAGGAAAGAUAAUAAAAGGCCAAACCUUUGCUCCAACUUUCUCCUUAGCUUCCCUUUGGAUCUGGAAAGCUGGGGACCCACACGGCAGAGCCAUGGUACUGGAGGAGCCAUUAACAAAGCUUUCAAUAAACCUCUCUUUCUUGAAGUUACCUGAGAAUGGAUCCAUUCCCUGCAACUGAAGAUUCUAAGGAACUGGGUUUCUCAGUAUACAAUGGGAAUGGUUGGGAGGAGGUAAAGAGUAGAAGACAGUAUCAAGAAUCCAGAGCCCAGCACCUGUAGUCCUAACUAUUCAGAUUCCUUGAGCCCAGGAGUUUGAGUCCAGCCUGGACAACAUAUUGAGACCCCCAUCUCUCUAAAAAAAAAGAGAAAGAAAGAAGGAAAGAAAAAAAGAAAGAAAGAAAGAAAGAAAGAAAGAAAGAAAGAAAGAAAGAAAGAGAAAGAAAGAAGGAAAGAAGGAAAGAAGGAAAGAAAGAAAGAAAGAGAAAGAAAGAAAAGAAGAUUGUAGCUAGGGGGAGAGUAGGUGAAAAGAUGAACAACAUGACCGGGAAGAUUUCCUAAUCUCACCACAGCCUGGCUCUACCUUAAGUCUUUAAUAAAAGCUUGACUGAAGGUACCAAGGUGUGCUGAAGUGGAAGCAAAGUUCUCCAAAGUCCAGCAUGGUAGACAUCAGUGGUGGUAACCAAGGACAGACCCCAAGGCAAGGUGAACCUCAAAAAUGGAACCUCAAGUCUAUGCAGUCCAGCUGCCCUCCCCACCAGAAAGUCCUUGUUCCAGCCCAACAUCAGUGCCUCUGAGUUUGUUUACUAGAAACAAAGGAAGAAUUUCCUUGUAAAAAUAUAGACAGAGUAGUCCCUGGCUUUCUCCUCUUGCAGGAAGGAUGGAUUCUCCCAUUCCAUACCAUCUUUCCCCCACACUGGCCCCAGAAAUACUUAAUUCAACUAUGUGAAAAUAAAGAUUGUUUUUGGUUUGAGGGCAUAGGGAUCCAUUUAUCCUUAUUCUUUAUGAGGCACUAAAUUAGCUUUGUAUGUUAUUAAAUGUGUCUCGUCAAUGCUGUUGGCAUUGUUUCAUUUUAAAAAAAAAAAAAAAAAA
rnacentral:lncRNA from 1 species